GACGAACGCUGGCGGCGUGCUUAACACAUGCAAGUCGAACGGAAAGGCCCUGCUUUUGUGGGGUGCUCGAGUGGCGAACGGGUGAGUAACACGUGAGUAACCUGCCCUUGACUUUGGGAUAACUUCAGGAAACUGGGGCUAAUACCGGAUAGGAGCUCCUGCUGCAUGGUGGGGGUUGGAAAGUUUCGGCGGUUGGGGAUGGACUCGCGGCUGAUCAGCUCGUUGGUGGGGUAGUGGCUUACCAAGUCUUGCACGGGUAGCCGGCCUGAGAGGGUGACCGGCCACAUUGGGACUGAGAUACGGCCCAGACGCCUACGGGAGGCAGCAGUGGGGAAUAUUGCACAAUGGGCGGAAGCCUGAUGCAGCAACGCCGCGUGCGGGAUGACGGCCUUCGGGUUGUAAACCGCUUUCGCCUGUGACGAAGCGUGAGUGACGGUAAUGGGUAAAGAAGCACCGGCUAACUACGUG
rnacentral:rRNA from 1 species